AUUGAACGCUGGCGGCAGGCCUAACACAUGCAAGUCGAACGAGUGGCGGACGGGUGAGUAAUGUCUGGGAAACUGCCUGAUGGAGGGGGAUAACUACUGGACACGGUAGCUAAUACCGCAUACAAUCAGAAGUGCCCAGAUGGGAAUAGCUAGUUGGUGGGGUAACGGCUCACCAAGGCGACGCGCCCUAGCUGGUCUGAGAGGAUGACCAGCACGACUGGAACUGAGACACGGCCCAGACGCCUACGGGAGGCAACAGUGGGGAAUAUUGCACAAUGGGCGCAAGCCUGAUGCAGCCAUGCCGCGUGUAUGAAGAAGGCCUUCGGUUUGUAAAGUACUUUCAGCGGGGAGGCGUUACCCGCAGAAGAAGCACCGGCUAACUCCGUGCCAGCAGCCGCGGUAAUUC
rnacentral:rRNA from 1 species